rnacentral:antisense_RNA from 1 species
GCUCCCAGCGCUUCGCGUACCAGGAAGGGGACGGCGUCCUGAAAGGGACAUUUGAAAAACGGAGGCAACGCGUCUAUUAAUUGGGUGGCGGCGCCUGGGGUCGCAGCACUCCAGAGGCCGAGAGUCUCGCCCUUUUGCCUAGUGGAGGAGCUCGGCUCACUGCAAGCUCCGCGCAACAACCCCCCUGCCGCCCCAGGUUCAAGAGAUUCUCCUGCCUCAGUCUCCCGAGUAGACUGGGAUUACAGGCGAGUGCCACCAUGCCCGGCUAAUUUUUGUAUUUUUGGUAGAGACGGGGUUUUACUAUGUUGGCCAGGCUGAUCUCGAACUCCUGACCUCAAGUGAUCCGCCUGCCUUGGCCUCCCGAAGUGCUGGGAUUACAGGCGUGAGCCACAACGUUGGGCCAGAAUGGUGGGGUGGAAGAGUUCCCAGUUUUAAAGGAGAAGAAGUACAAGAAGACCUGUAAUUGUUAGCAAGAUAUAUAGAACACAGUGCACAUAGCAGCACACUUCUCAAGUCAGCUCCAGGUUCAAGCUCAAAGGCCUAAAGUUUUGCAAACAUCUGGUGAA